UACAGAGGUGGCAAGCGUUGUUCGGAAUUACUGGGCGUAAAGGGCGCGUAGGCGGUCUUUUAAGUCUUGUGUGAAAUCCCUCGGCUCAACUGAGGAACUGCACGGGAUACUGGAAGACUUGAGUUUGGGAGAGGGAAGCGGAAUUCCGGGUGUAGCGGUGAAAUGCGUAGAUAUCCGGAGGAACACCGGUGGCGAAGGCGGCUUCCUGGACCGAUUACUGACGCUGAGGCGCGAAAGCUAGGGGAGCAAACGGG
rnacentral:rRNA from 1 species